AGAGUUUGAUCCUGGCUCAGGAUGAACGCUGGCGGCGCGCCUAACACAUGCAAGUCGAACGGCACCCCUCUCCGGAGGGAAGCGAGUGGCGAACGGCUGAGUAACACGUGGAGAACCUGCCCCCUCCCCCGGGAUAGCCGCCCGAAAGGACGGGUAAUACCGGAUACCCCGGGGUGCCGCAUGGCACCCCGGCUAAAGCCCCGACGGGAGGGGAUGGCCCCGCGGCCCAUCAGGUAGACGGCGGGGUGACGGCCCACCGUGCCGACAACGGGUAGCCGGGUUGAGAGACCGACCGGCCAGAUUGGGACUGAGACACGGACCAGACUCCUACGGGAGGCAGCAGUGAGGAAUAUUGGUCAAUGGUCGAGAGACUGAACCAGCCAAGUCGCGUGAGGGAUGACUGCCUUAUGGGUUGUAAACCUCUUUUCUACUGGGAGAAUAAGCCCUAUGUAUAGGGUGAUGACAGUACAGUAGGAAUAAGCAUCGGCUAACUCCGUGCCAGCAGCCGCGGUAAUACGGAGGAUGCGAGCGUUAUCCGGAUUUAUUGGGUUUAAAGGGUGCGUAGGCGGCUUUAUAAGUUAGUGGUAAAAUUUCGGAGCUUCACUCUGGUCCGCCAUUAAAACUGUAGAGCUAGAGAAUGGACGAGGUAGGCGGAAUAAGUUAAGUAGCGGUGAAAUGCAUAGAUAUAACUUAGAACUCCGAUAGCGAAGGCAGCUUACCAGACCAUAACUGACGCUGAUGCACGAGAGCGUGGGUAGCGAACAGGAUUAGAUACCCUGGUAGUCCACGCCGUAAACGAUGCUCACCGGCCCUUGGCGAUAAGACAGUUAGGGGUUAAUUGAAAGAAUUAAGUGAGCCACCUGGGGAGUACGUCGGCAACGAUGAAACUCAAAGGAAUUGACGGGGGCCCGCACAAGCGGAGGAACAUGUGGUUUAAUUCGAUGAUACGCGAGGAACCUUACCUGGGUUUAAAUGUAUGUUGCAUAAUCUGGAAACAGUUUUUCUCUUCGGAGCCAUAUACAAGGUGCUGCAUGGUUGUCGUCAGCUCGUGCCGUGAGGCGUCGGGUUAAGUCCCAUAACGAGCGCAACCCUUACCGUUAGUUGCUAGCAUGUAAUGAUGAGCACUCUAGCGGGACUGCCACCGUAAGGUGAGAGGAAGGGGGGGAUGACGUCAAAUCAGCACGGCCCUUACAUCCAGGGCGACACACGUGUUACAAUGGCCAUAAC
rnacentral:rRNA from 1 species